rnacentral:rRNA from 1 species
GAAACGAGUUAUCUGAACCUUCGGGGAACGAUAACGGCGUCGAGCGGCGGACGGGUGAGUAAUGCCUAGGAAAUUGCCCUGAUGUGGGGGAUAACCAUUGGAAACGAUGGCUAAUACCGCAUGAUGCCUACGGGCCAAAGAGGGGGACCUUCGGGCCUCUCGCGUCAGGAUAUGCCUAGGUGGGAUUAGCUAGUUGGUGAGGUAAGGGCUCACCAAGGCGACGAUCCCUAGCUGGUCUGAGAGGAUGAUCAGCCACACUGGAACUGAGACACGGUCCAGACUCCUACGGGAGGCAGCAGUGGGGAAUAUUGCACAAUGGGCGCAAGCCUGAUGCAGCCAUGCCGCGUGUGUGAAGAAGGCCUUCGGGUUGUAAAGCACUUUCAGUCGUGAGGAAGGUGGUGUAGUUAAUAGCUGCAUUAUUUGACGUUAGCGACAGAAGAAGCACCGGCUAACUCCGUGCCAGCAGCCGCGGUAAUACGGAGGGUGCGAGCGUUAAUCGGAAUUACUGGGCGUAAAGCGCAUGCAGGUGGUUUGUUAAGUCAGAUGUGAAAGCCCGGGGCUCAACCUCGGAAUAGCAUUUGAAACUGGCAGACUAGAGUACUGUAGAGGGGGGUAGAAUUUCAGGUGUAGCGGUGAAAUG